CGAAUGCUGACAUAAGUAACGAUAAAGCGGGUGAAAAGCCCGCUCGCCGGAAGACCAAGGGUUCCUGUCCAACGUUAAUCGGGGCAGGGUGAGUCGACCCCUAAGGCGAGGCCGAAAGGCGUAGUCGAUGGGAAACAGGUUAAUAUUCCUGUACUUGGUGUUACUGCGAAGGGGGGACGGAGAAGGCUAUGUUGGCCGGGCGACGGUUGUCCCGGUUUAAGCGUGUAGGCUGGUUUUCCAGGCAAAUCCGGAAAAUCAAGGCUGAGGCGUGAUGACGAGGCACUACGGUGCUGAAGCAACAAAUGCCCUGCUUCCAGGAAAAGCCUCUAAGCAUCAGGUAACAUCAAAUCGUACCCCAAACCGACACAGGUGGUCAGGUAGAGAAUACCAAGGCGCUUGAGAGAACUCGGGUGAAGGAACUAGGCAAAAUGGUGCCGUAACUUCGGGAGAAGGCACGCUGAUAUGUAGGUGAAGUCCCUCGCGGAUGGAGCUGAAAUCAGUCGAAGAUACCAGCUGGCUGCAACUGUUUAUUAAAAACACAGCACUGUGCAAACACGAAAGUGGACGUAUACGGUGUGACGCCUGCCCGGUGCCGGAAGGUUAAUUGAUGGGGUUAGCGGUAACGCGAAGCUCUUGAUCGAAGCCCCGGUAAACGGCGGCCGUAACUAUAACGGUCCUAAGGUAGCGAAAUUCCUUGUCGGGUAAGUUCCGACCUGCACGAAUGGCGUAAUGAUGGCCAGGCUGUCUCCACCCGAGACUCAGUGAAAUUGAACUCGCUGUGAAGAUGCAGUGUACCCGCGGCAAGACGGAAAGACCCCGUGAACCUUUACUAUAGCUUGACACUGAACAUUGAGCCUUGAUGUGUAGGAUAGGUGGGAGGCUUUGAAGUGUGGACGCCAGUCUGCAUGGAGCCGACCUUGAAAUACCACCCUUUAAUGUUUGAUGUUCUAACGUUGGCCCCUGAUCGGGGUUGCGGACAGUGUCUGGUGGGUAGUUUGACUGGGGCGGUCUCCUCCUAAAGAGUAACGGAGGAGCACGAAGGUUGGCUAAUCCUGGUCGGACAUCAGGAGGUUAGUGCAAUGGCAUAAGCCAGCUUGACUGCGAGCGUGACGGCGCGAGCAGGUGCGAAAGCAGGUCAUAGUGAUCCGGUGGUUCUGAAUGGAAGGGCCAUCGCUCAACGGAUAAAAGGUACUCCGGGGAUAACAGGCUGAUACCGCCCAAGAGUUCAUAUCGACGGCGGUGUUUGGCACCUCGAUGUCGGCUCAUCACAUCCUGGGGCUGAAGUAGGUCCCAAGGGUAUGGCUGUUCGCCAUUUAAAGUGGUACGCGAGCUGGGUUUAGAACGUCGUGAGACAGUUCGGUCCCUAUCUGCCGUGGGCGCUGGAGAACUGAGGGGGGCUGCUCCUAGUACGAGAGGACCGGAGUGGACGCAUCACUGGUGUUCGGGUUGUCAUGCCAAUGGCACUGCCCGGUAGCUAAAUGCGGAAGAGAUAAGUGCUGAAAGCAUCUAAGCACGAAACUUGCCCCGAGAUGAGUUCUCCCUGACUCCUUGAGAGUCCUGAAGGAACGUUGAAGACGACGACGUUGAUAGGCCGGGUGUGUAAGCGCAGCGAUGCGUUGAGCUAACCGGUACUAAUGAACCGUGAGGCUUAACCUUACAAC
rnacentral:rRNA from 1 species